UACGUAGGGUGCGAGCGUUAAUCGGAAUUACUGGGCGUAAAGCGUGCGCAGGCGGUUCGUUAAGACAGAUGUGAAAUCCCCGGGCUUAACCUGGGAACUGCAUUUGUGACUGGCGAGCUAGAGUAUGGCAGAGGGGGGUAGAAUUCCACGUGUAGCAGUGAAAUGCGUAGAGAUGUGGAGGAAUACCGAUGGCGAAGGCAGCCCCCCGGGCCAAUACUGACGCUCAUGCACGAAAGCGUGGGGAGCAAACAGG
rnacentral:rRNA from 1 species